rnacentral:rRNA from 1 species
GAUGAACGCUGGCGGCGUGCCUAAUACAUGCAAGUCGAGCGAACGGACGAGAAGCUUGCUUCUCUGAUGUUAGCGGCGGACGGGUGAGUAACACGUGGAUAACCUACCUAUAAGACUGGGAUAACUUCGGGAAACCGGAGCUAAUACCGGAUGAUAUUUUGAACCGCAUGGUUCAAAAGUGAAAGACGGUCUUGCUGUCACUUAUAGAUGGAUCCGCGCUGCAUUAGCUAGUUGGUAAGGUAACGGCUUACCAAGGCAACGAUGCAUAGCCGACCUGAGAGGGUGAUCGGCCACACUGGAACUGAGACACGGUCCAGACUCCUACGGGAGGCAGCAGUAGGGAAUCUUCCGCAAUGGGCGAAAGCCUGACGGAGCAACGCCGCGUGAGUGAUGAAGGUCUUCGGAUCGUAAAACUCUGUUAUUAGGGAAGAACAUAUGUGUAAGUAACUGUGCACAUCUUGACGGUACCUAAUCAGAAAGCCACGGCUAACUACGUGCCAGCAGCCGCGGUAAUACGUAGGUGGCAAGCGUUAUCCGGAAUUAUUGGGCGUAGCGCGCGUAGGCGGUUUUUUAGUCUGAUGUGAAAGCCCACGGCUCAACCGUGGAGGGUCAUUGGAAACUGGAAAACUUGAGUGCAGAAGAGGAAAGUGGAAUUCCAUGUGUAGCGGUGAAAUGCGCAGAGAUAUGGAGGAACACCAGUGGCGAAGGCGACUUUCUGGUCUGUAACUGACGCUGAUGUGCGAAAGCGUGGGGAUCAAACAGGAUUAGAUACCCUGGUAGUCCACGCCGUAAACGAUGAGUGCUAAGUGUUAGGGGGUUUCCGCCCCUUAGUGCUGCAGCUAACGCAUUAAGCACUCCGCCUGGGGAGUACGACCGCAAGGUUGAAACUCAAAGGAAUUGACGGGGACCCGCACAAGCGGUGGAGCAUGUGGUUUAAUUCGAAGCAACGCGAAGAACCUUACCAAAUCUUGACAUCCUUUGACAACUCUAGAGAUAGAGCCUUCCCCUUCGGGGGACAAAGUGACAGGUGGUGCAUGGUUGUCGUCAGCUCGUGUCGUGAGAUGUUGGGUUAAGUCCCGCAACGAGCGCAACCCUUAAGCUUAGUUGCCAUCAUUAAGUUGGGCACUCUAAGUUGACUGCCGGUGACAAACCGGAGGAAGGUGGGGAUGACGUCAAAUCAUCAUGCCCCUUAUGAUUUGGGCUACACACGUGCUACAAUGGACAAUACAAAGGGCAGCGAAACCGCGAGGUCAAGCAAAUCCCAUAAAGUUGUUCUCAGUUCGGAUUGUAGUCUGCAACUCGACUACAUGAAGCUGGAAUCGCUAGUAAUCGUAGAUCAGCAUGCUACGGUGAAUACGUUCCCGGGUCU